AUAUCAAUAAGCGGAGGAAAAGAAACCAACAGGGAUUACCUCAGUAACGGCGAGUGAAGCGGUAACAGCUCAAAUUUGAAAGCUGCCAACAGGCCGCGUUGUAAUUUGUAGAAGCUGCUUUGGGUGUCGGCCCGGUCUAAGUUCCUUGGAACAGGACGUCAUAGAGGGUGAGAAUGCCGUAUGUGAUCGGUGCCGUUGCCCGUGUAAAGCGCUUUCGACGAGUCGAGUUGUUUGGGAAUGCAGCUCAAAAUGGGUGGUAAAUUUCAUCUAAAGCUAAAUAUCGGCCAGAGACCGAUAGCGCACAAGUAGAGUGAUCGAAAGAUGAAAAGCACUUUGGAAAGAGAGUUAAACAGUACGUGAAAUUGUUGAAAGGGAAGCGCUUGCACCCAGACUUGCGGGCGGUCGAUCAUCCGAGGUUCUCCCCGGUGCACUCGAUCGUUCUCAGGCCAGCAUCGGUUUCCGGGGUGGGAUAAAGGCGGUGGGAAUGUGGCUCUUCGGAGUGUUAUAGCCCACCGUCGCAAUGCCGCCACUGGGGACCGAGGACCGCGCUUCGGCUAGGAUGCUGGCGUAAUGGUUGUAAGCGA
rnacentral:rRNA from 1 species